GAUGAACGCUGGCGGCGUGCCUAAUACAUGCCAGUCGAGCGAACGGACGAGAAGCUUGCUUCUCUGAUGUUAGCGGCGGACGGGUGAGUAACACGUGGAUAACCUACCUAUAAGACUGGGAUAACCUCGGGAAACCGGAGCUAAUACCGGAUAAUAUUUUGAACCGCAUGGUUCAAAAGUGAAAGACGGUCUUGCUGUCACUUAUAGAUGGAUCCGCGCUGCAUUAGCUAGUUGGUAAGGUAACGGCUUACCAAGGCAACGAUGCAUAGCCGACCUGAGAGGGUGAUCGGCCACACUGGAACUGAGACACGGUCCAGACUCCUACGGGAGGCAGCAGUAGGGAAUCUUCCGCAAUGGGCGAAAGCCUGACGGAGCAACGCCGCGUGAGUGAUGAAGGUCUUCGGAUCGUAAAACUCUGUUAUUAGGGAAGAACAUAUGUGUAAGUAACUGUGCACAUCUUGACGGUACCUAAUCAGAAAGCCACGGCUAACUACGUG
rnacentral:rRNA from 1 species